rnacentral:rRNA from 1 species
AAUAUUGCGCACUGGGGGGAAACCGGACGCAGCAACGCCGCGCGAGUGAAGAAGGACUUCGGGUCGUAUAACUCUGUCUUUAGGGAAGAAUAAAGUGACGGUAUCUAAUGAGGAAGCCCCGGCUCACUACGUGCCAGCAGCCGCGGUAAAACGUAGGGGGCAAGCGUUGUCCGGAAUUACUGGGCGUAAAGGGCGUGUAGGCGGACAUUAAAGUCAAUAGUGAAACCCGACGGCUCAACCGUCGGCUUGCUGUCGAAACUGACUAGCUUGAGUGCAGGAGAGGAGAGUGGAAUUCCCAGUGUAGCGGUGAAAUGCGUAGAUACUGGGAGGAACACCAGUGGCGAAGGCGGCUCUCUGGCCUGCAACUGACGCUGAGGCGCGAAAGCGUGGGUAGCGAAC